ACUGUGACAGAUGUGACCUGGACUGAAUUAUGAGACACUGAAAUAGUUUAAAACAUUGAGAGCAGAAAGAGAGGAGGAAUUCAUAACGUUUCAUCUUAUAUCUUAUCAUUUUGGAUUCAGAAAAAGAGAAGAUGGAUGUCGGAAAGAUAGUAUCGAUUCUCCUGAUUCUGAUAGUGCCGCAUACAACAGUGGAAUCAACAACAACGGCCGCACCCACAACAACAGCCGCACCGACAACAACGGCCGCACCAACAACAACGGCCGC